UCGCGAAGGCUAGCAUAAUAAUGUUGAGGUCAUGGUUCAUAUUAUGCUGGUGUUCGUGGGU
rnacentral:pre_miRNA from 1 species